CAGCCUACGGGGGGCAGCAGUGGGGAAUAUUGCACAAUGGGGGAAACCCUGAUGCAGCGAUGCCGCGUGGAGGAAGAAGGUUUUCGGAUUGUAAACUCCUUUUAUCAGGGACGAUAAUGACGGUACCUGAAGAAAAAGCUCCGGCUAACUACGUGCCAGCAGCCGCGGUAAUACGUAGGGGGCAAGCGUUAUCCGGAUUUAUUGGGUUUAAAGGGUGCGCAGGCGGAAUGUCAAGUCAGCGGUAAAAUUUCGGGGCUCAACCCCGUCGAGCCGUUGAAACUGGCGUUCUUGAGUGAGCG
rnacentral:rRNA from 1 species